GAUGAACACUGGCGGCGUGCCUAAUACAUGCAAGUCGAGCGAACAGAUAAGGAGCUUGCUCCUUUGACGUUAGCGGCGGACGGGUGAGUAACACGUGGGUAACUUACCUAUAAGACUGGAAUAACUCCGGGAAACCGGGGCUAAUGCCGGAUAACAUGUUGAACCGCAUGGUUCUACAGUGAAAAGCGGCUUUGCUGUCACUUAUUGAUGGACCCGCGCCGUAUUAGCUAGUUGGUGAGGGGACGGCCCACCAAGGCAACGAUACGUAGCCGACCAGAGAGGAGGAUCAGCCCAACUGGGACUGAGACACGGGGCCAAAUCCUAAGGGAGGGAGGGGGGGGGGAUACUGCAGAAUGGGGGGAAGCCUUGCCGAGCCAAGCCGGGUGGGGGAAGAAGGUCUUUGGAUUGUAAAACCCUUUUUGUUAGGAGAAAAAAAAGUCAGAAGAAACCUUGCGGUUUUGAGGGUAACAAAAGAAGAAGCCCCGGGUAACCUCGGG
rnacentral:rRNA from 1 species